AGUUAUUGAGUCCGUGUUGCUACAGUUUGGUAAUCCGCGAUAGCUAUUUUAUGUGGGACAUCAAUCAAAUCAUACGAGUGCCAAAGAAUAUAUAAUGGGAGUUAUUAUAUUAUAUAACAUAAAUUCUUUGCGAGUACUUUUUCCUAGAUUAUUGUUUAUUUAGUCACUAUGAAUGGCAUGUUGGAAUCUUGCGUGGUGUUUCGCAAUUAUACGUAUUGCGCAAUAUGGAAUUCUCACCUGCUGUUAUAACCUGAACUAUUUUUUAAAAAAGGGGUAUUUUUGUAGUAUUUAAAUUACGCCUUAUAGCCUCAGAAACUGACUGCAAGCAAGUAUGAACUCAGUUGAAGAAGAACUGGUUUGCAAAGGUGACAAAGAAAAUGACUUUGAUACAAUCAUUGGGCACAUAGAAGACAUAAUUAUUGCGUUGCUUUAUUCCUGCGAUUUUGUGAAGUAAGGGAAAACGACAUUGCUCUCACUACUGAAGCUGAUCCUGAGUUGCUGUCAUCUCUUCUUGAUGUUCACGAUAAGUAUGUUUUCUUUAUU